rnacentral:other from 1 species
AUUUCCACUUCUAGUCCCAGGACAAAGGGUUUGGAAUUCCUGGAGAAUCACCUUUGUGAGAAGCUGGAAAUAAUUUCUUUAAUUCCAUCUUAGUUUUCCAUCUUGUUGCAUUUCUAAGGCACAUCAAGAAGCC